UACGGGGGGGGCAAGCGUUGUUCGGAAUUACUGGGCGUAAAGGGCUCGUAGGUGGCCAACUAAGUCAGACGUGAAAUCCCUCGGCUUAACCGGGGAACUGCGUCUGAUACUGGUUGGCUUGAGUUUGGGAGAGGGAUGCGGAAUUCCAGGUGUAGCGGUGAAAUGCGUAGAUAUCUGGAGGAACACCGGUGGCGAAGGCGGCAUCCUGGACCAACACUGACGCUGAGGAGCGAAAGCUAGGGGAGCAAACGGG
rnacentral:rRNA from 1 species